GAUGAACGCUGGCGGCGUGCCUAAUACAUGCAAGUCGAACGAGGUCUUCGGACCGAGUGGCGAACGGGUGAGUAACACGUUGGUACCUACCCCGAAGUGGGGAAUAACUGGCCGAAAGGUCGGCUAAUACCGCAUAAUACCGCAAGGUUAAAGCAGUAAUGCGCUUCGGGAGGGGCCUGCGUCCCAUUAGCUAGUUGGUGAGGUAAUUGCUCACCAAGGCAACGAUGGGUAGCUGGAUCGAGAGGUUGACCAGCCACACUGGGACUGAGAUACGGCCCAGACUCCUACGGGAGGCAGCAGUAAGGAAUCUUCCACAAUGGACGAAAGUCUGAUGGAGCAACGCCGCGUGCAGGAUGACGGCCUU
rnacentral:rRNA from 1 species